rnacentral:misc_RNA from 1 species
UCCGGUUUGUCUCCGGCAGUCUCCCCUGAUAUUCAACGGGGGACGGGGGUUGCGCUCGUUGCGGGACUUAACCCAACAUCUCACGACACGAGCUGACGACAGCCAUGCAACAUCUGUUCUCCCGUCCUUGCGGAGGCCCACCUUUCGGUGGGUUGCGAGAGAAUGUCAAGCCCUGGUAAGGUUCUUCGCGUCGCAUCGAAUUAAACCACACGCUCCGCUGCUUGUGCGGGUCCCCGUCAAUUCCUUUGAGUUUUAGUCUUGCGACCGUACUCCCCAGGCGGGCCACUUAAUGCGUUAGCUUCGGCACAGGAGGGGUCAACACCCCCCACACCUAGUGGCCAUCGUUUACUGCUGGGACUA